rnacentral:rRNA from 1 species
AGUGAACGCUGGCGGUAGGCCUAACACAUGCAAGUCGAACGGCAGCACAGUAAGAGCUUGCUCUUACGGGUUGCGAGUGGCGGACGGGUGAGGAAUACAUCGGAAUCUACUUUUUCGUGGGGGAUAACGUAGGGAAACUUACGCUAAUACCGCAUACGACCUACGGGUGAAAGCAGGGGAUCUUCGGACCUUGCGCGAUUGAAUGAGCCGAUGUCGGAUUAGCUAGUUGGCGGGGUAAAGGCCCACCAAGGCGACGAUCCGUAGCUGGUCUGAGAGGAUGAUCAGCCACACUGGAACUGAGACACGGUCCAGACUCCUACGGGAGGCAGCAGUGGGGAAUAUUGGACAAUGGGAGCAAGCCUGAUCCAGCCAUACCGCGUGGGUGAAGAAGGCCUUCGGGUUGUAAAGCCCUUUUGUUGGGAAAGAAAAGCAGCAGGUUAAUACCCCGCUGUUCUGACGGUACCCAAAGAAUAAGCACCGGCUAACUUCGUG